CCAGGGAUCCCCUGGAACUUUUUAGAAAGCAGUUUACAUCAGGAGAUAUUUAUCAAGGUUAUCAUUGGCAGGAUACAAUGCAGAAGAAUUGGGUGACUUAUAACAUUCACUUCUGCACUGUUCCUGUGGGGCUUUCGUCAACCACGUAGACAAAUCCAAGUACUCAUGAAGGUCUACCUUAAACUUCUGUAGUGAACUUGCAAGGGAGAUGUGUGAAGAAACACCUAAACUGUGCAGAAGCAUAUGAAUUUACAUGUAGUUGAUGACAGAUCUUGUACUUCUAACCCAGGCAGAUCAGGUCCUGGAAAUAGUGGAAUCAUGCCUCAUUACAAGAAAAUGGCUGAGAAUUGGGAAACAAAUAGGAUUUAGUGCAGAGAUGUUCACCACUCAUCAACAAGAAAUAUCAUAAAGAACAACAUAAGGGCGCUUGGGUGGCUCAGUCGGUUAAGCCUUAGCUGAGGUCAUGAUCCCAGUGUUCUGGGAUUGAGCCCCAUGUUAGGCUCCCUGCUUGGUGGAGAGCCAGCUUCUAACUGUCCCUCUGCUGCUCCUCUUGCUUGUGCUCUCUCUGUCAAAUAAAUAUAUUAAACCUUUAAAAAAAAAAAAACAAUAUAGACAUAAAAGAUGGAUGAGACCAGGUAAAUAAAACAAGGACAAAGUUCUUUGGAUGGCUCUGAAAUGAGGUGAAGAUUGGGAGGACAUGUUGAUCUUAUUAUGAAUACAGCUGACUUACUGCUUGCGCCUGGAGUGGAUGAAAAUCCUGGAACUGCUUGUCCAGAUCACAAGCUCACAACACGGUAUCAGGGAAUACCAACAGUGUUCCAUAAACCAAAUGUAUCAUUUUAUCACAACCUUUUUUUUUUAAAGAUUUUAUUUAUUUAUUCAUGAGAGACACACAGAGAGAGCUAGAGAGAGCAGAGACAGAGGAAGAGGGAGAAGCAGGCUCCAUGCAGGGAGCCUGAUGUGGGACUGGAUCUCGGGAAUCCAGGAUCACGCCCUGGGCCGAAGGCAGGCGCUAAACUGCUGAGCCACCUGGGCUGCCCAAGAUAUCACAACCUUAUCCAAACAUGUUUUUCUUCAUACUCUUGCUGUACAUUUGACAGUGACAUACAGAAGAAAAUUAAAAAGUCAAUGUACCUGGAGCUCUUACUUUAACCCCCCUCCAAAGAAGAGUCCAUAGGGUUAAUAUUAAUGAUCUGGAAGAUAAGGAAGACCCACAUGGUACCAUAAUGGACACAGCCCAGGCCACAUAACAAAGAAGUGUGCAUGCAAAGUCCUGGCAGAAAUAUUUUCACCCAGAGGCUGUCACCUGUGGGUGGGAUCCCUUUAGAUACAAUGUCCCAUGAGUUGACUAUACUCAUGUGUUGGACAAUUUAAUCUGUAGAACUUAACCUACCUCCAGUGAAGUAAGGAGAGAGAUAAUGGUAAAAUGGCUUUGGUUUGCGAAAAUUCCAGCUACA
rnacentral:lncRNA from 1 species